rnacentral:rRNA from 1 species
GACGAACGCUGGCGGCGUGCUUAACACAUGCAAGUCGAGCGGUAAGGCCCUUUCGGGGGUACGACGAGCGGCGAACGGGUGAGUAACACGUGGGUGACCUGCCUCUAGCUCUGGGAUAAGCCCGGGAACUGGGUCUAAUACUGGAUAUGACUCCAUGACGCAUGUUGUGGGGUGGAAAGCCUUGUGCGGCUAGAGAUGGGCCCGCGGCCUAUCAGCUUGUUGGUGGGGUGAUGGCCUACCAAGGCGACGACGGGUAGCCGGCCUGAGAGGGCGACCGGCCACACUGGGACUGAGACACGGCCCAGACUCCUACGGGAGGCAGCAGUGGGGAAUCUUGCGCAAUAGGGCGAAAGCCUGACGCAGCGACGCCGCGUGAGGGAUGACGGCCU